rnacentral:rRNA from 1 species
ACUCCUACGGGAGGCAGCAGUGGGGAAUUUUGGACAAUGGGCGAAAGCCUGAUCCAGCAAUGCCGCGUGAGUGAAGAAGGCCUUCGGGUUGUAAAGCUCUUUCAGUCGAGAAGAAAAGGUUGUGACUAAUAAUCACAACUCAUGACGGUAUCGACAGAAGAAGCACCGGCUAACUACGUGCCAGCAGCCGCGGUAA